GAAGAUCUCAGCAUCAAAGGGCAACAACCCUGGCGUUAAAAUACAUCGGAUCAAAUCUGGUAUUUACAAUGUAGUCAAAGGCACAGUGGCAUUGAAAAACAAAACGCUGGGAAAUUUAUAGUAAAAGAUUCGUUGUAAUCAUUAAUCUGGUUUCAGCUAGGAGAAUUAACUCUUGAGAGAAGAUGCACACAGCAGGCCUUCGGAACCCGCGUGCCAGUUACUAGGGAGACCACGCCUCCUUCAGACCACGCCUCCUUCCCGCAGUUUACAUCUUUCCGGCCUUCUUGCCCAUCUGCGCGGGCACUCGGAGGAUGUUGGGGGUCUCCUCCAUGACUCUGACUAGCAGGUUGUCGAUGUAGUCCUCCAGCUCCCGCACCUGAAACUCCUUCUUGCUGAUGGUCUCCUUCUGUUUGAGGACUAGCUGGAUCAGCUCAUCGUGGGUCAGCUGUGCGUGUUAAAACACACGCCACCACACCCGGCUUAGAAAGCCACUUUCCACAAAGGAUGAAACCAGGCGGCUGACGAGAAGAGAGAAGGACUUUGGAGUCUGUAGAGUAGGGCCACGAUUACAAGCCUGAGCUACCACACCCUUUUUAUGUGGUCCUGAGGAUCAACCCCACGAUUCCUGAUUACUAAGCAAGAACUCCAUCAACUGAAUUAAACCCUGAGCCCUUUCCUUUUACUUACUUCUUAAAAUGACACACUCCCUGAGAUGGAACCCGUGUCUGACACUGCUCCAGUCAUGAAGAACCUGAGACUAGGCAGGCCAUGGACCCAGGGAAAGUCAAAUACUCUGCUAAAGGGACAGAGCAAUAGAAGGACUCCUAAUGACACUCUGCCACAUCUAAGAUCUCGAGAAGUCCCAGCAACUGAACCAUCCCUCCAUCCCUCCCCUCGGGGCUCAGGGAACCCCGUGGAAGAGGAGGUAGGAAGAGUGUAAGGGGCAGAGGGAAGUACAGCAAGACAAGAAGGACUGACUGACACGCCUGUGCUUCCACAGACGGGCAGCAUGCUCAGGUUCAAGCCAGGUGCCUCCCAGCACGGAGAGAGGAAGCGGACACCAGGCCCCACCUUAACUCAAAAAGCCAUCCCCAACUGACAACCAUUUACAAAGGAAACAUUAGUUUCUCAAGUGAGUCUCCUUGGGUACACAAACCCACUUGAUGUGCAGGCCCCAUGCCCAGUGGUAGAUAGCCAACACAAAAUGAAAAUAGUAUUUUUGUAGAUUUUUUUUUUUUGGUCUCUUAUUGCUUUAUAUGGAGUUUUUAUUUUUAAACCCUGCUGGCCAUUUGCUUAUAUAUUAUUGUUUCCAAUUUUGUGUUUUUAUUUUCUCUCUUUGUGUGUAUACUUUUCUGUUUUAUUCUGGUUUUUGUUUUGUUUUUACUUAUCUGUAUGUUCUGUAAAGAGAGGGGGGCAUGGAAUUGGAUGGGCAGGGAGGAUCUGGGAGUAAAGGAGGGAGGGGGAACCAUGAUCAAAUACAUUACAUG
rnacentral:lncRNA from 1 species